AUUGAACGCUGGCGGCAGGCCUAACACAUGCAAGUCGAGCGGUAGAGAGGUGCUUGCACCUCUUGAGAGCGGCGGACGGGUGAGUAAUGCCUAGGAAUCUGCCUGGUAGCGGGGGAUAACGCUCGGAAACGGACGCUAAUACCGCAUACGUCCUACGGGAGAAAGCAGGGGACCUUCGGGCCUUGCGCUAUCAGAUGAGCCUAGGUCGGAUUAGCUAGUUGGUGAGGUAAUGGCUCACCAAGGCGACGACCCGUAACUGGUCUGAGAGGAUGAUCAGUCACACUGGAACUGAGACACGGUCCAGACUCCUACGGGAGGCAGCAGUGGGGAAUAUUGGACAAUGGGCGAAAGCCUGAUCCAGCCAUGCCGCGUGUGUGAAGAAGGUCUUCGGAUUGUAAAGCACUUUAAGUUGGGAGGAAGGGUCGUUACCUAAUACGUGACGAUUUUGACGUUACCGACAGAAUAAGCACCGGCUAACUCUGUGCCAGCAGCCGCCGUAAAAC
rnacentral:rRNA from 1 species